UAGACUACAUGGGGCAACGCGCAGGCUAUUUUUUCUACUUCGGCUUAAAUCAGACAGGAUCCAGCAGUUUUAAUGUUGACCUAAGGCCGUACUGAAAAAGUGAAUGUAUCACAAGCAAUAUUCUAACUCUGGAUAGUUUGCACCUGGGUGCCUCUCUAUCUAGGGACACACAACAUAGUACGGGGCAUAUUUACCCCUUAGGAAUAACAGUCAUUUGCAUUCAAAUAGUCUUGCUAAACCUGAAGGGUCCUGAUAUGCUUCAAAGCACAGAAAUGCAGCCACCUCUGGGGUGGGGGGAAGCGCCCACCAGCAUUGUACAGCAGGAAGAGGAGAAAGCCAAAGAUAGCGAGGGGCGAAUACCUACCCUUUGAAAAAGUCCCAGGGGAUCCUUAGUGUCCGCGCAGAACAAAAAGGACAUUGGCUUUAAAUCACAGUUACUCGCUUGAGCCUGUUGUGCCCAGAGCAGUGUGAGGCAAUCCCCACUGGACAAAAGCUGCGGUCUUUACCUGCUGAGAAGAGACUGGUUACACAACAAAGCACCUUGCCUUGAGCAACACCUAACAAGCUCCAAUUCUUCCUGCCAGUGUUACAACUCACCAGUAGAUUGAUAAUGGAGCAACAUGCCACAAAGGAGGCUGUGUGGGGCCACUGAGAACUAUGCAUUUUUCCAAAGGAUCACAAUUAAACAAAC